rnacentral:rRNA from 1 species
UACAGGAAAGCGGCGGAAGGGAGAGGACAACAUGGGAAACUGCCCUGGGGACGAGGAUAGCGUCGGGAAACUGACGGUAAUACUCGAUAAUGUUUGCGGACCAAAGGUGUGAUUCCGCCCCAGGAUGUGCCCAUGCCCCAUUAGCUAGUUGGCGGUGUAAUGGACCACCAAGGCUAUGAUGGGUAGCUGGUGUGAGAGCACGACCAGCCUCACUGGCACUGAGACACUGGCCAGACACCUACGGGUGGCUGCAGUCGAGAAUCUUCGGCAAUGGACGAAAGUCUGACCGAGCGACGCCGCGUGCGGGAUGAAGGCCUUCGGGUUGUAAACCGCUGUCGAGGGGAAUCAAAUGCAAGGGGGUUCUCCCCCCUGCUUGAGAGAACCCUGGAGGAAGGGGAGGCUAAGCUCGUGCCAGCAGCCGCGGUAAGACGAGCUCCCCAAACGUUAUUCGGUAUCACUGGGCUUAAAGAGUUCGUAGGCGGCGAAGUAGGUGAGGUGUGAAAGCCCUCGGCU